GUCAAAUGCUACUUACUCCAGGUCCCAGGCUGAUGGAACUUCUGUCUAUUUGGGACACUGUUAGUCAUAAUGGCAGAGACAAGAGAGAAGAUCAUAGCAAACCAUGUACUGGCUCCUACAGUUUUCUGCUCAGAAAUGGAACACGUCACUACUCUCUCCACAUUUCAUUGUCCAGAGGAAGUCAUGUGACCAAGCUGGAUUAAAAAUAGGGAGGAGCAGCAAAUAUAAAACCAUGCAUCAGAUAGAGGGAAGAGUUGAGUCCAUUACACAGCAUCAGCUGGACCACUUCCUGGCUGUGGAAGCAGCAUCCCUCCCAAGAUCUUUUCAUAAUAAAUGAAUAAUAAACAUUCCACUGAAAUUUUUUUAAAAAACCACA